GACGAACGCUGGCGGCGCGCUUAACACAUGCAAGUCGAACGGAAAGGCCUGCUUUCCCUUGUGGAUUGCGGGUACUCGAGUGGCGAACGGGUGAGUAACACGUGAGUGAUCUGCCCCCAACUUGGGUAUAAGCCUGGGAAACUGGGUCUAAUUCCCGAUAGGACUGCAGGGUGGUGCCUGUGGUGGAAAACGAUUUUCUAGUGGUUGGGGAUGAGCUCGCGGCCUAUCAGCUUGUUGGUGGGGUAAUGGCCUACCAAGGCGGCGACGGGUAGCCGGCCUGGGAGGGGGGACGGCCACAUUGGGACUGGGAUACGGCCCAGACUCCUACGGGAGGCAGCAGUGGGGAAUAUUGCACAAUGGGCGGAAGCCUGAUGCAGCGACGCCGCGUGGGGGAUGACGGCCUUCGGGUUGUAAACUCCUUUCGACCGCGAGGAAGCCACCUGGUUGGAAGGGUGGUGACGGUAGUGGUAGAAGAAGCACCGGCUAACUACGUG
rnacentral:rRNA from 1 species